ACGUAGCGUUGGCUUCAUAGCAGGAAGUGAGUCACCUAGGAGGAGAGCAGAGGGCAGAUCUUUUUUCGGAGGGAGUUGCGUGUACAGCUGCGCACAGCUAAAGAUGCAAGCGAAGUCUUCCUGGUCCGUGACAUCACCACAACUACGCACUGCAACCGCUCAGCGACAGGCAUACAAUAUGGAGGUGUCUCUGUCUCUAUUGCCAUCAGUCCCCUGGAAAAAAACACCCUUGCAGAACCCUCACUGCAUAACCUGCACGGGAGUCUAUAGAAACCUCACUGCACCGGAACCAACGUGGGAGUCUACGGAAACCUCACUGCACUGGAACCAGCAUAAGAGUCUAUAGAAGUCUCACUGCACAACCAACAAGAGAGUCUAUAGACACCUCACUGCACUGGAACCAACACGAGAAUCUAUUGAAACCUCACUCCACCUGAAAAAAACACGAGAGUCUAUAGAAACCCCACUGCUGAGUUAGUCUUUCAGACUGUUCACAGGAAAGGGCUGGUCUCAGGUGACAUCCAAACUACUUCAGGGCAAAUUACUUUUGUUUCUGUAAUUAGAAAAAAUAAAAUAAUAAUAAUAAUCCAUAGAAUUUAAUGGUGUGACCAUCUACAUCCAAGAAUUAAAGCUGUGGCCUGGAGCGCCAUCUACUGGAGUCUUUAGGAAUUGGUUGAAAAUUAAUUCUCUAGCCUCGAGGCACCUACACCAACUUCCCACGUCUUUCUUUACUAGAAACAUUUAUUUAUUUAUUCAAACUUCAGUAGGAUAGGAGUAAAGUGUUCAAGUACUUAAUUUUGCAAUGCCUUCUGUCAAAAGACAGCAAAAACACAAGAAACUUUAUUUUUUCUUUCCUGGUAUGAUAUAUCUUUACAUUUAUAAGCAUUGCACAGACCAUAAUACGUGGUGUUCUAGCUGGCCAAUGAACUAAAGCUGACUCGUGUAUUCAUUGUAGAACCUGAUAUCUAGCCCUGCAGUUUAGGUAGCUUCAAGAAACCUCCCUGUGCAGACUAUGCUUUUCGACAGUCCUGGCCUUUCAGGGUCACCUGGAGGGUGACAUUGUCCCCGCCCCUGUCAGUAACCAAUCAGCUGUAUCCUCUAAUGACUGACAUGCUCUGCAGACUGUAAGACACUUGACCACGAAAAAACUACGGUGGUGAAAGGACCUAGGAAGUGUAAUUGUAACAGAUUUGCAGGCUGGCAAGCAAUCGAACUGAGAGCUUUGUUUCACUGAGUGUAGUACCAGACGUCAGGUUUGAAAUGAAUAUGAGUGUAACUUUGUUUUACUGAGCGUGGAAACCAGGGGUCAGGUUUGAAAUUAAUAUGUAUGCUUGUGAAAUUAAUAUGCAUGCUUGUGAUAUCAUGUUUCUUUUAGAACUGCACCUUGGAGAUGUAUAAAGUCAACGGAAUUGUGUCACAGGUGAGAUUGAUGGAAAAUUUUGUUAGCUCCAAACACUUUAAUAUUGUGUGUCUCAGAGCAUCUGUGUAGAGAAUGAUAAACUGCAUCCCACUGUGUCUCAGAGCAGCUGUGUAGAGAACGAUAAACUGCAUCCCUGUGUGUCUCAGAGCAGCUGUGUGGAGAAUGAUAAACUGCAUCCCUGUGUGUCUCAGAGCAGCUGUGUAGAGAAUGAUAAACUGCAUCCCUGUGUGUCUCAGAGCAGCUGUGUAGAGAAUGAUAAACUGCAUCCCUGUGUGUCUCGGAGCAGCUGUGUAGAGAAUGAUAAACUGCAUCCCUGUGUGUCUCGGAGCAGCUGAGUAGAGAAUGAUAAACUGCAUCCCUGUGUGUCUCGGAGCAGCUGUGUAGAGAAUGAUAAACUGCAUCCCACUGUGUCUCGGAGCAUCUGUGUAGAGAAUGA